ACAGUUCGAAAAUCAGCAUUCAUUGAGUUGAGUUUCCUCCAUUCACACGUAAUCAUUUGUCGAUGCCCAAACCUCAUCCAAAGUCAGUUCCUCCAUUUCUACCGUUCUGAUCAGAUCACCCAGCUGCUCUCCUUCUUCAGUUUUUUAUUUUCCAAUAAUAUUCUCUGAGUUAGCUUUCUUCUUAUCUACUUCAAUAUUAUCGGUCACGUUAAUGUCUACUCGAAAUUGCUCAAAACAUCUGUGGUUGCUAAGUCGUUAAAUUGAAAAUGUAUGUUUUGAAUUGCUUUUUUUAUUUUUGGUUUUUCCGUAACUGCUUUGGAAUUAUUUGAGCUUGCUUUAACCGCAUUUGUGUAUUGAAAAACGAAAAAAGAAUCUCGACUCCCAACGCUAAUAAAGCUAGUAAAAUGCCACCUUAAAAUAAAAAGAUUUUGAAAAAAGUAACUACGAUUACAAUCUCGUAUUUUAACUUAGCAGUGUGAAAAAUGCCGAGGUAACUCCCGAUAUAGAUACUGGGUAGACGGUAUAGAGAGACUGACAGGUUGGCUUCUUCAUUUGACGUUGUCGAAGGAUCCUCUCAAUUAAUCCAGCUUCCCGAGCAUUGCACAUACUUAAUAGCAAAUCAAAUAUUUAUCGAUUCGUGGUGAUCUUUCGACGACUUACGCUGUUCUAAACAAUUCGGCCUGAUACUUCACGCAGGUCGCAAAUUUCAUUGGCAUCAAAUAAUUCGGCGAUAAUCGGAUAAGCAUCAACAACUUCGCAGUGAAAUGCGAAUCCA